CAUAAACCCUAUAAACCCCGAACACAAGUCCAGGGGAGCAUCAGAGCCAAAAAUCAUCUAGGGUUUUAGCUUUCUCGCGCGAAGUGCAGACAAAGAAAGCUGAGAAAAUGUUUUCAGGUAUGUUUGCCCGCAAGCCAGACAAGGCUGUGGCUCUGAAGCAGCUGCGGACACAUGUGGUUAUGUUCGGUGCAUGGGUAGCGGUGGUGAGGGUCACUCCCUACAUUCUCCACUACUUCUCUGAUGAGAAAGAGGAGCUCAAGAUUGAUUUCUAAUCCAUCAUCUACGCUUCUCAUAAUCGCAUGAAGGUAUAUGCUGUGGGUCUGGCUGGGGAGAAAUCUGCUUGGAUGAAGAGGAGCUUGUGUGCUUCAACCCUUUUUCUUCCUUUCUUUUCUACCCUGCAAAACUAUGACAACAGUGUAUCCUUUCCAUGGAUUAGGUCACAUUUGGGUUUUACGUAUUGGAGGGCUUAAAUUAGGUUCUUGUUUUCUUUUGAUUACUACUUGAUUCACAUUGAAUCAUCUUGAGGUUCAACGGUUGUUGCAGCUAUAUCAUGUGUUUCAAUUCACUUGGAACCAUUGUUUAAAAUUUGUGAACUUUGUGUGAGGUGGGGCUCAAAUCUCUGAAUUAUGUCGACCUGUUUAUAUCCCAUGGAAGAUUUCUCUCC